UAGUAGCCUCAUUCAUUCACUCUUCAAAUCGAACCCCUCAAUUUCCCCAACAAUUCCUUCUAUCAACAAUGGAAGAAUCAAUCCAAAGUGAUGAAAUCCCAAAAUUCAGAGAUAUUAGACGCUAUUACUGCCAAUUCUGCGGCAUCUGUAGAUCCAAAAAACCCUAAUUACCUCACACAUCAAUUCCGAACAUAAGGAGGAGAUGGAGAAAGCAAGAGUUGAAACUGAACCUGAAUCAUUAGAGGGUGGUUUGAAAGCUAAUACUUGUGAGGAAUGUGGUGCUAGUUUUAAAAAACAUGCUUAUUUGCUGCAGCAUAUGCAAAGCCAUUCCCUUGAGAGGCCAUUUGUAUGCAGCCUUGAAGAUUGUAAGGCGAGCUACAGAAGAAAGGAUCAUCUGAAUCGUCACCUUCUACAACAUCAAGGGAAAACUUUUAAAUGUCCUAUUGAGAAUUGCAAAAGUGGCUUCUCAUUGCAAAGCAAUUUGAAAAGACAUGUUGAAGAGAUGCAUGAUGAGAAUUCUACCCCUCCUUGUAGUGGUGAAAAUCAGAAGCAGUUUGUAUGUCCUGAAAUUGGCUGUGGAAAGGUUUUCAGAUAUGCAUCACAACUACAGAAGCAUGAAGAUUCUCAUGUUAGGCUCGAAACAAUUGAAGUGGUGUGCUUAGAGCCCGGUUGCAUGAAAUUUUUCACUAAUUCCGAGUGCCUUAAAGCUCAUGUUAAAUCCUGCCAUCAAUAUGUGACCUGCGACACUUGUGGGACUAAGCAACUGAAGAAGAAUAUGAAGAGGCAUCUCCGCACACAUGAAGCCAGCAAUUCAUCCGAAGCAUUUAAAUGUGAAUUUGAGGGUUGUGACAGCACAUUCUCAACUAAAUCUAAUCUUCAUAAGCAUGAGAAGGCUGUACACUUUCAAGUAAAGCCGUUUGUGUGUGGAUUUCCUAAUUGUGGAAUGAGAUUUGCUUACAAACACGUGAGAGAUAAUCAUGAAAAGACUGCAAAACAUGCUUUUGCCCUUGGUGAUUUUGAAGAAGCUGAUGAAGAAUUCAGGUCAAGGCCAAGGGGAGGGGUGAAGAGAAAAUGUCCUCCCACAGUAGAAAUGUUGGUUAGGAAGAGAGUUAUCCCACCUAGUCAAUUAGAGAACUUGUUAUUUGUGCAGGAUUGUCAGUAAGAUGGAUGGAUCAUAUGUGGUGACCUGGUUUGGUUGAUUGUAUUGCGUAGAGAUUAUAUAUUUAGGAUUAUGAUCAGUAUUACACUUAAGAUAAAUGUAUAGUCAUGAAUGAUGGUCUUUUUUUUUUUUUUAAUAUAUAAAUGAGGAAUUAUGAUUGACAGUUA